rnacentral:tRNA from 1 species
GGUCGAUUAGCUCAGUUGGUUAGAGCGUGGUGCUAAUAACGCCAAGGCCGUGGGUUCGACCCCCAUAUUGACCA